UGAGGAAUAUUGGGCAAUGCCCGAAAGGGUGACCCAGCAACGCCGCGUGGAGGAUGAAGGUCGUAAGAUUGUAAACUCCUGUUAGAGGGGAAGAAUAACUAAGUUUGGAGCUUAGUAUGACUGUACCCUCAGAGAGAGCCCCGGCUAACUACGUGCCAGCAGCCGCGGUAAUACGGAGGGGGCUAGCGUUGUUCGGAAUUACUGGGCGUAAAGCGUACGUAGGCGGAUGCGCAAGUUGGGGGUGAAAUCCCGGGGCUUAACCUCGGAAUUGCCCUCAAAACUGCACGUCUUGAGACCGAGAGAGGUAAGGGGAAUUCCUAGUGUAGAGGUGAAAUUCGUAGAUAUUAGGAAGAACACCAGUGGCGAAGGCGCCUUACUGACUCGGUACUGACGCUGAGGUACGAAAGCGUGGGGAGCAAACA
rnacentral:rRNA from 1 species